GGGCCCGCACAAGCGGUGGAGUAUGUGGUUUAAUUCGAUGCAACGCGAGGAACCUUACCAGGUCUUAAAUGCAUAACGAACGAUUGGGAAACCAAUCUUUCUUCGGACGGAAUGCAAGGUGCUGCAUGGUUGUCGUCAGCUCGUGCCGUGAGGUGUCAGGUUAAGUCCUAUAACGAGCGCAACCCCUAUUCUUAGUUGCCAGCGGUUCGGCCGGGGACUCUAAGAAAACUGCCAGUGCAAGCUGUGAGGAAGGUGGGGAUGACGUCAAAUCAUCACGGCCCUUACGACCUGGGCCACACACGUGCUACAAUGGUAGGUACAAAGGGCAGCCACUUGGCGACAAGGAGCUAAUCUCUAAAACCUAUCUCAGUUCGGAUUGGAGUCUGAAACUCGACUCUAUGAAGCUGGAAUCGCUAGUAAUCGCGCAU
rnacentral:rRNA from 1 species